GUAUUUGAUAUUGUUUUGGAGUGUUUUGAACGUCAGCCUGGUAAUAGUAUAUUUUUGGACUUGAUUCCCAUAUUUCCCAAGUCCCAUGCCUCCCAGAUUCUGGGGUUUAAGUUUCAAUACUACCAACGCCUGGAAGUUAAUGAUCCUGUUCCAAGUGAACUUUAUCAGCUGACGGCCUUGCUGGUGAAAAGAGACUUCAUUGAUGUCGACAGCAUUUAUGCACAUUUACUUCCCAAGGAGGAGGAUGCUUUUGACCAUUACAAUGCCUUUUCAGCUAAGAGACUUGAUGAGGCCAACAAAAUAGGGAGAAUAAAUCUUGCUGCUACUGGGAAGGAUCUCAUGGAUGAAGAGAAACAAGGAGAUGUGACAGUGGAUCUGUAUGCUGCAUUGGACAUGGAAACAGAGGCAGUUGCUGAGCGUUCCUCCGAGCUGGAAAAUAGUCAACCCCUGGGAUUGCUUAUGGGAUUUCUUGAAGUGAAUGACUGGUAUCAUGCUCAUGUGUUGUUUGGCCGUCUCUCACAUCUCAAUCCAGCAGAACAUGUACAAAUAUGUGAUGGAUUAUUCAGGCUCAUUGAAAAAUCG
rnacentral:misc_RNA from 1 species